rnacentral:lncRNA from 1 species
AGAAUAUAUAAGAAAAGGGCAGGAUAAUCAACAGUGUGUGUUUCCUGAAAAGGAAGAACAGAUGAAAUUCAUGGAACAGGUGCAGAAUUUGGCAUCAUGUAGGGAUUAAAUAAAAAGGACAGUCAAUGUCAAGGGAAAAACUUUUAAAUUCUCUCUUGAGACUUGUCCAUGUUUGUAGUCUGCUGAAAAGAAGCCCAGAGAAAAAGAGAAUAGAGAGGAGAUGAGACGGAUUAUUAUCUAGAAGCUAUCAGGAUAACACUUAAUUUUCUGAGACUGGAGGAAAGAGUUAAGUUGUAAAUAAGCUAGCAGGAGAGAGGAGUAUAAUAAAGUUAAAAGACACACUGCUCCCAAUGUUCUUUUUGGUUUUCAUCUAAAAUUAGAGAGGUAAUCUGUUAAUAAUGGAGGAUUGCCAUUUGACAGCUGGUAGACAGUAGUGGGGAACGUUUAGACUGCUUGAAGAGAGGAAAGAGAGAAGGAGUUGUCCAAGUAAAACAAAUGACUUGGUCAAGUGGCAUUUGGGAAGCAGUGGAGAUUUAGAACAUAAAUCAACACUGAGUGUCAUUGAGACACAUAGCUUUGCAUUAUUUUUUCUCAGCAAUACUUACUACCACUGCUGUAGGAAUGAUUAAAGUUGGUAAAUUGCUGACCGGUACAGGAUUGGGCUUUUGCUGGUGAGUGGAGCAGAAGAGUAUUAGAGUAUAUUUUCUAGCUAAAAGCUCUUUUAUGAUCUAUACAGCCAUAUGGCAACUUCCUCUUUGACAUAUUCCACAAAUUAAAUGUGAUUCAACAUGAGGACAGAAUUAAAAACAAAAACCAUAUGAUCUCCUCAAUAGUACAGAAAAAGCUUUUGAGAAAAUUCAACAUCUCUUUAUAUUAAAAACCCUCAACAAACUAGGCACUGAUGGAUCACACCUAAAAUAAUAAGAGCCAUCUGUGACAAAUUCACAAACAACAUCAUACUGAAGGGGCAUACACUGGAAGCACAGUUCUUGAGAACUGGAACAAGGAGAGGAUGCCCACUCUUACCACUCUUGUUCAACAUGGUACUGGAAGUGCUAGCUAGAGGAACCAGGCAAGAG